GAGGUGCAGCUGGUGGAGUCUGGGGGAGGCUUGGUACAGCCUGGGGGGUCCCUGAGACUCUCCUGUGCAGCCUCUGGAUUCACCUUUAGCAGCUAUGCCAUGAGCUGGGUCCGCCAGGCUCCAGGGAAGGGGCUGGAGUGGGUCUCAGUAGCACAUACUACGCAGACUCCGUGAAGGGCCGGUUCACCAUCUCCAGAGACAAUUCCAAGAACACGCUGUAUCUGCAAAUGAACAGCCUGAGAGCCGAGGACACGGCCGUAUAUUACUGUGCGACUUUGACUACUGGGGCCAGGGAACCCUGGUCACCGUCUCCUCA
rnacentral:lncRNA from 1 species